ACAAAACAGCACUUUAUUAUGAGAGUGGAUUAGAUAAUUAGCUCUGAUUUCUGUUCACACGUGCAAAGUUUAUACUCCUUCUUACAUACCUUUUACUGUGGAUGAAAUGAGUGAAAAAUGUUUUUUCAAGCUUCAGCAGAGAAUCAAAAUAUUAUGCCUGUAUCCCAAGAUUUCAUGCCAUAUAUUUGUGCUGUUUUAAGUCCUGACAAAAUCAGCAUAGAUUUAAGAGGUUAAGUUUGAACAAAGUCAGCCCUUUCAAUACAGUUUACAGAUUUUAAUUUAGUGUUACAUAUACUUUAAGUAAGGUUUUGUACUUCAAUGUGUGAACAUUCAUUACUGUUCUAACACUUUCUGAAAUUGUUCUGAGUUAUGGACAUCUGCCAACAGGAGUCCAUAUCACACUGUGUACAUUGGGGUACCAUCUGUUGUACCAUGUACCAUGUGCUGUACCAUGUACCAUGUGUUCUAUCAUGUACCAUGUGUUGUACCAUGUACCAUGUGUUCUAUCAUGUACCAUGUGUUGUAGUACUGCCUUAACAUCAAGGUACAAGGAGUAUCAGGACAGGUUUAGUCAUGGUCGGUGUGGGCAUUUUUGUUACAGACUGAAGCCAGUGACAUCAAUGAAAGUGGGGAGAAGUUUGCAGAGAUGGACAAAAAGAUCAAGGACCUAGAGCGGGAGGUGAGUGAUCGGAAUGAAGAGAAGCAGGAGCUGGCUAAGGCCUUGACCUUGUCGUACGAGGAACUUCAGAAGCUGAGACAAGACACCAAUGAGGAACAGGAACGCCUGAACACAGAGAGAGUAGAGCUCCAGAACACACUGCGAGACGUGCAGGAACAUCUAGAGACAACGAAACAGGAAAUGGCCUUGAUGCAGUCUAGGUCAACAGGUCAAGUGUCGGAUCUCCAGGACAUCGCGGAGGAACAUUAUAACCGGGCCAAUCGGCUGAAUGAUGACCUCUCGAGGUUAAAGAGAGAGGUCCUUAGUACUAAGAAGCAGCUGUUGUCGCAGGACAUGUUAAACAUAAGGCUGGUAACGCUAGAGGAGGCACUUAGAACACGCGAGCAGAGCCAGUCACUUGUAGAGCCCGUGCGUGAUACACCUUCAGACACACAUGAUUCCGACCAAUCAGAUACGGACAACAGCACAGACAAUAAAGAGAAUCGUCAGUCACGGCGCGAUGUGUCUGUGUCACUGCGAGAGGAGUGGAGAAAGGAGGCCCUCAAAGACAAACUGCUUGAAGAACAGGACUAUCUCAGACACCAGCUAAGGCAACAGAUGCUGCGACACGCAGAGUCGAUGGAGUCAACGCGACUACAGUCUGAGGGAACUAUUGAAAGUCUCAAACGCAAGCUCAACACACUACAGGAAGUACUAUUUAACAACAACAACCAUCUCUCAUCCGAUAUACACGCAAUACAUGAAUUGACAAGGUCAAGGUCAAACUCUCCACCAAGGUCACCUUACUCUCGGAAUAGCUCUCAAAGUCCAAGAAGUCGGUUUAGCUAUCUGGCAAAUAGAAGGUCAAGGUCAAGGUCAUCUGAGAGACCAGGUCAACUGAUACCCGAGAGAGAUUUGAUGUGAAGAAAUGGUAAACACCUGUCUCCAUGGUUACACAACAGGAAGUCACAUGACAAUCAGGAAGUGAGGUGGCAGACUCAUAGUGCCUGUUCCAGCCGGAGUGAGGGGUGUUUCAGUUUGCUGGUGCAUAUCAAAAGCAUGUGUGUCAGUUGCUGGUGUGAAUGGGAUGUGUGAACUAAUAGCUUGAAUAGAUCUGUAGUUGUCAUAAACAGAUACAAGGAUUAGGAAAGUGCUUGAAUUCCUCAGCAAUAUGACUUGUAUGUUGUAUAUUCACCGGUUUGAGCAAUCCGUGUCAAGUUUCCUCUGACUAACUUGACCUUGACUACAAUAAUAGGUAGAAUUAAAGUAUAUAUUCUAUUUCUGAGCAUCAAAUUAACUGAAUUCAAACUUUUUCUUAACUAAAUACCACAAACAAAAAAUUGAAUUAUUUUUUUGUCUGUCACCUUUGUGGAAAAAAGGAGUCUUAGCAUUGCCAGGUUGGUGAAACUUUAGUUGAGAAGUGGCUUGUCACUGACUUGUACUAUAGAUAAAUAGGUAUUGAGUCAACUGAUUACAGUGGACCAGAUGUUUGCAGAGUUUGCAGAAUUUCUGCAGCGUGAGAUGGGUUAUACAUUGGCUACUGAGAAUGAAUGUGAAAACUGUGGUUGAGUGUGUGCAAGCUCUCUACAUACAGUAUUAUAAGUUAUUUUAAUGUUUGUAUGUUCCUGUAUGUCUGCAGACAUGCUACAAACAUACAAACGGUUUGUACAAGCUAGCUGUGAUAUUAUUGUUUUUACUUUUUAUCUACUUACCCGUCCUUGUGAUUCUAGUUCAUAUUACAGUGUUUUUGUAGUAACAUAUCACUUGUACAGGUUUACUCUCGAGACUGUAUUAUAUGUAAAUAGUUGUACAUAGUCUUGGUGCGAUGGAGGCCAUAUUUACGUUGCCAUUAUCAGACUGGGGCAAAUCUUGCUACAGAUCUGUAGACAUGUUUUAAUGGGAAUAUGCAGACAUUGUGUCCUUGUUGCCAUUAUAGGAUGAAUGUUAGCUGAACUGAUCCGUUGGAUGGCAUAUCAGGACAUAGUAUGGUUUCAUUUGACUUAUUAAAAUAUCUUGCAUAGUCAUGUAUGUCUGUUGGAAAAGACUAAAUAUGGAAUGCAUAAAUUCAUAAUUCAUGUUAUCUUAUAACUAAAGUAAUGGUAUUUAAAAAUGGUGGUCCUCUACGAUCAUGUGAGAAAUGGUUUUAUAAGGGCCAACAGAUUGAAUCUGUCUCUGUUUAUAGAUAUCUGGGUGUUGUCUUCACACCCAAGCUUAUGUAGAGCAAAGCACAACUAUGUUUAUCAUCUCAGGCUAACAAAGCAAUUUUAUCAUUAUUCAGUUUUCAAACAAAAAUUGGUAACAUAGACGGCUGUGAUUUAUUUAGGAUAUUUGACUCAAUGAUUGUGCCUAUACCCUGCUAUGGCGCAGAAAUUUUGGGCACUGAAUAUUGUAAAGGUAUAGAGGCCGUACAACUUAAGUUCUGUAAACAGUAUUUAAGGGUAAACAAAUCUACGUUUAAUGGUAUGGUGUUAGGUGAGUGUGGCAGACUCCCUCUCCAAUAUGUUUAUGUCUUGCGUGUUAUUAAGUACUGGUGUCGUCUCCAUUUAACUGAAAGUAGGUUGCCUCGUCAAUGUUACAUUAUGUUAAGAUCUUUAGAUGAAGCUGGACGCACCAUUGGGUUUCAAAGGUUAAACAAAUAUUACUCAGGUAUGGCUUUGGUUAUGCUUGGUUUUAUCAAGACAUUGGAAAUGUUGGUAUGUUCAUUUCUGUUUUUAAACAAAGACUAAAGGAGAAUCUACAACAGUCAUGGUAUUCAUCAAUACAGGAUUCUUCAAAAUACUUUUAUUAUAAGCAGUAUAAGUCUUUGUUGAAUGUUGAAAAAUACUUGUGUUCUGACGUUCCAGUGUAUCUAAGGAUGUCUAUCAAGAUUUAGAUGUAGCAACUUUAAGAUAGCAGUAGAAACUGGAAGAUAUGGCCAUAUUGAACUGAGAAAGACUUCAUGUACUGCAAAUCAAAAGGUCUGGAUUAUACUGAAAAUGAAUGGCAUGUCAUAUUUGUGUGUGGUUGUUAUAAAGAUUUAAGAGUCAAAUACAUUGCUAAAUUAUACAAGAACCCUACACUGUACACACUAUGAUGAAUCUGUUUCAAAAUGAAAGUUAUGAUGUUAUGUACAACAUCGGCUUGUUUCUGUACCAUGUUAACAAUAUUGUAAAUUCUAGAAACAAAUGAGUGCUACCGUAUACCUUCUUAAAACAUACGCACGUGAAAGAUACAAACACAGCCCUAUUAUCUGUAUGUAUUAUGGGCCAGUGGCCUCCUUACUGAAUACACUGUCUGUCUGUCUGGUAUCAUAACAUGUUUAUCAUAAUUCAUAAUUACUUCUUUGUAAUGUUUUAGCCUACAAGGUGACUGAAGGAAAUAUAUAAGUUCCUGAAUGCUCAUGCUGUUGAUCACUGGAUUGUCAUAGACUUACACGGGCCACAGACUUGAUUAUUUACAGACAGCUGCCAUAUAGCUGGAAUAUUGCCGAGUGCGACGUUAAGCAACAAACUAACCCAUCUCUGUUCAAAAACUAUUUCCAUUUGCCUGCUAAGGGUACAUUGUUGAAAACCCUAUCUGAUUUCCUUUUCAUAAUAAACCAACUCAAAAUGGACAAGUUGGAUAUUGGUAGGUUAAGUUUAACUACACUGGGAGAAUUCUGUGGAGAAUACCAUUUUCAAAACUGAUCUGUCUCAGAGUUCAAUGUCUAACUUGACAAACAAGUUUGUGUUGAGUUACUCUGUAUGGGAAUAUUGUACAGAUUUAUGACUGAUUUGUUUAGCCGUGUAUUAUAUGUAUAUUCUGUGAUUGUUGUGAUAUGUUUAUACAUUCCAUAUCUACGUGUUUGACAUAUCAAGCACCCUUGUUCAAUAAGUGCCCCAAUGAAUAUUGAAGUCAGAACAAUUGAAAUUUCCCUAUUUUCUUAUGUAUAAUUUAUAGUUUUAUUUACAAGUAACUGCUUUGGAAAGAGUUUUUGUUUUAUAAGCGUUGGAAAUGUUGCUUCACUACCACUCAAUAUCCGAAAGCAAAUUUACCUUGUUUUGGGUUUUAAUUAGCACCCCAUUGGUCAGUUUUCUAAAAGCCUGGAUUGCGCUUUAUGUAAUUACAUUUACAAAGUCUGUGGUCUGUUGUAGGCAUGUUGUGUUUUUAGAUUUAAACAUAGGCGAUAUGUUUGACAGCUAAAACAACUGGGUUGGUUAGCAGAUAUGUUUAAACCAGUGCAUCUUGUUCACCUGUACGUUGAUAUAGUUCUGAGCAUAAUUAUCAAAUCCAGUUACUGCAACACUAUUCCUGAAAGUGGCAUUGGACCUUCAACUUCCAAGACAAAUUAUUGAUGAUUGUAUACUCGCUCUUUAGUAGUAUUUCUAAAUGUAUUUAUUUGUUUAGUAUUAUAUAUUUAGGAGUUCUUAACAUGCCGUGGUUACGUGACAUUGUGUUCUCACUGAACAAUAUAACAAGAUUUCCCACAUUCUGUGAACUACAAGUAUCUGUCUCUGUCAAAUCUUUACAAAACGACAUUUGCUUUGAGGUAAUGUUUCUCAAGUGACUGAGGAAAACGUAUCUGAUAUACUAUAUAUACCGGUACAUACCCACAUGUAUUAUUAUGCAGUGAUCAGUUAUAUAAUCAAUGAAUUUGUUGGACAAGUAAAAAUAUUGGAUCGUGAUAAUAUUUAUUUACAUAUUAGGUUUGACAUGUAUAUUUAUGUAAGAACACUAUGCUCAUGGGUAGAGAUGAUAGUUCAACAUCAGUUUAAUCGUAAUAAUUUACCAUGCUAUGAAAUUACCAGGCAAGUAAUGGAGAUUGUUUUGGUUGCAUGUACAGAUAGAAGAGUGACAUGUGUUGGCAUUUACAUCAAGUUACUACAACACUGUACACACAUAUGAGGGUGUACAUAUAUAGAUAAAUAGGAGUUAGUUUGAAAAUAUUAUUACUGUAGCGGACACAAUAGUUUGAGGAAGUCAAACUGCAUCUGUGCUAAAUUAAAAUGUCAGAGUACCAUAUCUAAGUGUUGCCAUUUCCUAGUAAAACAACUAAAUUUAUUAUUUUUUAUAAUUUUCCUGAGAUUUGGUGAAAAGUAAUGGAAGAUUUAGUCAAAAACGGUUGGAACCCUCCUCACAUGUUGGAAAUGUGAUUGAUGGCAAGAACCUGAGUGAUCAGUCUUGCAGAUAUGCUGACAAGGCAUAAGUCAAAUCAAUCACAACGUACUGACGUGUAGAGUCAUCCAUACAUUACCAGAGUUUAGACAUUGUCCAGCGUCAGUGUUGUCCAGAUACCAUUCCUUAUACAAA